rnacentral:rRNA from 1 species
UACGUAGGGUGCGAGCGUUAAUCGGAAUUACUGGGCGUAAAGCGUGCGCAGGCGGCGCGUUAAGACAGGUGUGAAAGCCCCGAGCUUAACUUGGGAAUUGCGCUUGUGACUGGCGUGCUGGAGUGUGGCAGAGGGAGGUGGAAUUCCACGUGUAGCAGUGAAAUGCGUAGAGAUGCGGAGGAACACCGAUGGCGAAGGCAGCCCCCUGGGCUAAGACUGACGCUGAGGCACGAAAGCGUGGGGAGCAAACAGG